rfam:Gossypium raimondii Chr03_contig_1030, whole genome shotgun sequence.
UGUUAAAAAAUUCAUCCACUUGUACUACUAAAAACUAAAAAGUGACACGUGGCAUGCUACGUGUACAUCACGAAACGUACAAAACUAAUUUUUAGCAAUAGAAAUGGAUGAAUUUUUAACA